GGCGUGGUGGUGCAGUGGGUAGCACUGCUGCCUCACAGCAAGAGGGUCCUGGGUUGAAUCCCAGCCAGGGCC
rnacentral:tRNA from 1 species